rnacentral:rRNA from 1 species
UACGGAGGGUGCAAGCGUUAUCCGGAUUCACUGGGUUUAAAGGGUGCGUAGGUGGGUUGGUAAGUCAGUGGUGAAAUCCCCGAGCUUAACUUGGGAACUGCCAUUGAUACUAUCAGUCUUGAAUACCGUGGAGGUUAGCGGAAUAUGUCAUGUAGCGGUGAAAUGCUUAGAUAUGACAUAGAACACCAAUGGCGAAGGCAGCUCUCUGGGACGGUACUGACGCUGAGACGCGAAAGCGUGGGGAGCGAACAGG